rnacentral:lncRNA from 1 species
GCUAGGUAAGAGUAUCAGACCUGGAGUCAAAGAGACCUGAGCUCAAAUCCUCCUUCAGAAACUUUACUAGCUGUGUGAUCCUAGGUAAACUCUCUCAGCCUCAUUUUCCCCAUAAAAAUGGGGAUAAUAAUAGCACCUAUCUCACAGAAUUGUUGUGAGGAUUAAAUGAGAUGAUAUAUGUACAAUGCUUUGUUAACUUUAAAGCAUUAUAAAAAUUCUAGCUAUAAUAUCCCCUCCCAAACUCUCCUCCUUAACAACCUUAGUAGUUUUUAGGUCCUGCAUGAUGGUUGUAAUUCAUACUAGCUUGAAUCAAUCAAAUCAUUCUCAAUAUUAUUAAUCACUCCAAGAGGAUGUUCAUGAACCAAAGAGACACAAUCAAAAUCCUCCAAAUAUAACAAAACUGCAAAUAAUAACCAUUUCCCUUUAUAUUUAUUGAAUUAACCAAACUCUCCUGAGCAAUCCUCUAAAGAUGAAUUAGAGGAUAGAAAAGAGAAGAGAGAAAUAUUUCUGUAGUGACAACUGCAAUAGUCCAGGCCAAUAGUGCUAAACUUAUAUAGAAAAAGGAGCCUUUUAUCCAUACUUAAAGAUCCCUGCAGACUACAUAUUGAUUUAAUCCUAAAAUAUAAUAUCCAAGUUAUUGUAUUUUUAUUUAUUUUGGUAAAUAUUUUCAAAUUACAUUUUAAUCUGAUUUGGACCAGAGUUGUCAGUAUUGUAGACUUCAUGUGUUUGACACCUGGUCCUGAUAAUGAGGGACUGUGCUAGCUGGUGGUGAUGGGAAUGGGGGAGGCAACAGAGUGGGAGAACAGAGAGAAUCAAGGACUUCGUAACUGAUGGAAUGUGAGAGAUGAAAAGUGAAGUCAGAAGGAAAGCAGGUUUGGGGAGAAAGAUAAUGAACUGUACUUUAGAACAGACUUUUAUAUUGGCAUCUAGCCCCCUCCGUGGAUUAGAGAUCUAAGCCUCCUUCCUCCAGUCCCUCAAACUCUUCCUACUCAACCCUCUGAAGAACCUCUUCCCUCCUUCUUGGGUAUAUUCAGAUAAAAUCCCCGGGUGUCAGUGACUCUGGAAGGAUCCUCUUGCUUUAAAUCUCUUCAGAGACUAUGGGCUACAUGUUGUCAUUGGGAUAGGCAGUGCUUGGCAAGGGAUGCUAAUUUUUUCUGAUCAUCUUUCCUAGUCCAUUUUUGUCAGAUUAAGACACAUAAUAUAUAGUUUGGAUGAGGAUCACAAGAUUUUAUUCUGAGGAGUCAGACCUGAGUUUUAUCUC